UUUCGAGGAUACAAGGGUGAGUAGCUUUGUCAGGCUUCAUACUUGCUACAUGGUCGUCAUGAUGAAUAAUCCAAGCUACGUCUGCUAAUUUCAGCAUUCCUACUAUUUUCUAUCAAUUAGAGAACAACCAUUCUACAUGUCAAUCUCCUAGGCAGGUAACAACCGUUCUCUUCUAUUUCUAUUGCUUUCCAUUAUAUACUUAAUCUGGAAUCACAUGUUUUAUAAAUAAGAUGCAGGAAUUACUCUCAGUGUGUCAAUUCCAGAAUAACUCUCAGUGUGUCGAUUAUGUGACUCCUCCUUUGGUUUCUGUUCUUUCCUGCUAUGAUUAAAUCCGUAUUGACACAUCUGAGUACCUAAAGUUGUACAUAGUCAACCUGUAAGGCUCAAGUGUCACUAGGUUUGUCACACCCUGUGAGGAUCGCUUCAUGUGAUAUCCUUUCUUAUCGCUCUUGCUAGCCGAAGAACUGAAAACACUCAAACUUUAAUUGAUAAUUCAUGUGAAAUGUGCUGCUACUUAACUUCUGCUGCCACAAAAAAAAUAUUCGUUGAAAUCCGAGUAAUAUGUUACCUAUAACAGUGACUGUUUCAAUAGCUUGCAAUUACAUUUCGUACUUUCUUCACCCUGUAAAAUUUUGACUAUUUUAUUUUCAGUAGUUGUCGUAAUACAUCUCAUGAUAGAGUGGUAUUUAUUUGAAAAUGUCAGCUACGUGCGUUUCUAAAGAUAACUAGAACAACAUCCAACCUCCGUGGCUAUUUCUUGACAUUAUGAAUCUUUUUUAAUUUGAUAUAUUUAAUUUUUAGGUGAAUACACUAAAAGGUGGUGAUGCCAAUAUGGACCAUCGAAAAUGAAGGCACGACGUAACUGGCUAUGCACUUCUGAGGUUUUUUCUUCUUCUGUAAGUGUAUAUAGUGCAAUUGGCGAACGUACGCAUCAAAGUGGUGAAGGGAAAUUCCAAUGAUAUACUUAUACCACAAUGUAUGUUUCUUUUUAAGUUGUAAA